rnacentral:pre_miRNA from 1 species
GAAAUACUCCCUCCGUUCUGAAUUACUUCUCGCAAGUGUGGAUGUAUCUAGAUGUAUUUUAGUUCUAGAUACAUUCAUUUCUGCGACGAGUAAUUUGAAACGAAGGGAGUAGAAG